CAAGUCGAGGGGCAGCGGGAUUGAAGCUUGCUUCAAUUGCCGGCGACCGGCGCACGGGUGAGUAACGCGUAUCCAACCUUCCGUACACUCAGGGAUAGCCUUUCGAAAGAAAGAUUAAUACCUGAUGGUAUGAUGAGAUUGCAUGAUAGCAUCAUUAAAGAUUUAUCGGUGUACGAUGGGGAUGCGUUCCAUUAGGUAGUAGGCGGGGUAACGGCCCACCUAGCCUACGAUGGAUAGGGGUUCUGAGAGGAAGGUCCCCCACAUUGGAACUGAGACACGGUCCAAACUCCUACGGGAGGCAGCAGUGAGGAAUAUUGGUCAAUGGACGAGAGUCUGAACCAGCCAAGUAGCGUGAAGGAUGAAGGUCUUACGGAUUGUAAACUUCUUUUAUAAGGGAAUAAAACCUCCCACGUGUGGGAGCUUGUAUGUACCUUAUGAAUAAGCAUCGGCUAACUCCGUGCCAGCAGCCGCGGUAAUACGGAGGAUGCGAGCGUUAUCCGGAUUUAUUGGGUUUAAAGGGAGCGCAGACGGGUCGUUAAGUCAGCUGUGAAAGUUUGGGGCUCAACCUUAAAAUUGCAGUUGAUACUGGCGUCCUUGAGUGCGGUUGAGGUGUGCGGAAUUCGUGGUGUAGCGGUGAAAUGCUUAGAUAUCACGAAGAACUCCGAUUGCGAAGGCAGCACACUAAGCCGUAACUGACGUUCAUGCUCGAAAGUGUGGGUAUCAAACAGGAUUAGAUACCCUGGUAGUCCACACGGUAAACGAUGGAUACUCGCUGUUGGCGAUAUACGGUCAGCGGCCUAGCGAAAGCGUUAAGUAUCCCACCUGGGGAGUACGCCGGCA
rnacentral:rRNA from 1 species